rnacentral:rRNA from 1 species
GAGUUGUAAUCUAUAGAGGCGUUUUCCGCGCCGGACCGCGUCCAAGUCUCUUGGAAUAGAGUAUCAAAGAGGGUGACAAUCCCGUACUUGACGCGACAACCGGUGCUCUGUGAUACGUUCUCAAUGAGUCGAGUUGUUUGGGAAUGCAGCUCUAAAUGGGUGGUAAAUUCCAUCUAAGGCUAAAUAUUGGCGAGAGACCGAUAGCGAACAAGUACCGUGAGGGAAAGAUGAAAAGCACUUUGGAAAGAGAGUUAAACAGCACGUGAAAUUGUUAAAAGGGAAACGAUUGAAGUCAGUCGUGUGAAAGGUAUUCAGCCGUCUCUGGCGGUGUAUUUGCCUUUCACGGGUCAACAUCAGUUUGAUCCGGUAGAAAAAGGCGGGAGGAAGGUGGCACCCUCGGGUGUGUUAUAGCCUCCUGUCAUAUGUGCCGGACCAGACUGAGGAACGCAGCUUGCCGCAAGGCCGGGGUUCGCCCACGUACAAGCUUAGGAUGUUGACAUAAUGGCUUUAAACGACCCGUCUUG